rnacentral:rRNA from 1 species
GUGAGGAAUUUUCCGCAAUGGGCGAAAGCCUGACGGAGCAAUGCCGCGUGAAGGAUGAAGGCCUAUGGGUUGUAAACUUCUUUUCUCAGAAAAGAAUUAUGACGGUAUCUGAGGAAUAAGCAUCGGCUAACUCUGUGCCAGCAGCCGCGGUAAGACAGAGGAUGCAAGCGUUAUCCGGAAUGAUUGGGCGUAAAGCGUCUGUAGGUUGUUUAAAAAGUAUUCUGUCAAAGAUUAGGGCUUAACCCUAGAUAGGCAGAAUAAACUUUUAAGCUAGAGGUUGGUAGAGGCAGAGGGAAUUCCCGGUGGAGCGGUGAAAUGCGUAGAUAUCGGGAGGAACACCAAAGGCGAAGGCACUCUGCUGGGCCAAUACUAACACUGAGAGACGAAAGCGAGGGGAGCAAAUGGGAUUAGAUACCCGGGUAGUCC